rnacentral:rRNA from 1 species
CCUACGGGGGGCAGCAGUGGGGGAUAUUGCACAAUGGGGGGAACCCUGAUGCAGCGACGCCGCGUGGGUGAAGGAGCGUUUCGGCGCGUAAAGCCCUAUCGGCAGGGAAGAAGGAGGACGGUACCUGACUAAGAAGCUCCUGCUAACUACGAGCCAGCAGCCGCGGUACUACGCAGGGGGCAAGAGUUUACCGGAUUUACUGGGUGUAUAGGGGGCGCAGGGGGCAGCGGAAGCCAGGGGUGAAAGGCGGGGGCUCAACCCCCGGACUGCUGUGGAAACUGUACGGCUGGAGUGCAGGAGAGGUAAGUGGAAUUCGUGGUGUAGCGGUGAAAUGCGUAGAUAUUAGGAGGAACACCAGUGGCGAAGGCGGCUUACUGGACUGUAACUGACGUUGAGGCUCGAAAGCGUGGGGAGCGAACAGGAUUAGAUACCCGAGUAGUC